rnacentral:misc_RNA from 1 species
AAGAUUUGUAAUCAAGGAAACAUUUACAGACCGUGAAUUUGUUAUCAUUAUUUUAUCACAAGCUGGAUCAACUGGUAGUAGAGGAAACUACAUCACUUAUCUAAAAGGGAUAAAGUGGUUCUAUUUCUUGAUCAUCGCAAAUUGAUCUGUGCCUUGGGAGAUAGUUUUAUCUCACUCUUACGGAAUUGUAGAUAUCUAUGUAUUUCCCUGCUGUAUUAUUCCAGCUAUUGUCAAUACGCAUAACUUUCUGCACGACAGCUUUCCAUUCAUUUGGUUUUUCUUGAUAAUAAGAAAAUGCACGGCCUAGUGCACAGUUUAAGGAUCCUUCAUCAAUU